rnacentral:rRNA from 1 species
UACAGGGGGGGCAAGCGUUGUUUGGAAUUACUGGGCGUAAAGGGCUCGUAGGCGGCCAACUAAGUCCGACGUGAAAUCCCAAAGCUUAACUUUGGAACUGCGUCGGAUACUGGAUGGCUUGAAUUCGGGAGAGGGAUGCAGAAUUCCAGGUGUAGCGGUGAAAUGCGUAGAUAUCUGGAGGAAUACCGGUGGCGAAGGCGGCAUCCUGGACCGACAUUGACGCUGAGGAGCGAAAGCCAGGGGAGCAAACGGG